AGCGAACGCUGGCGGCAGGCCUAACACAUGCAAGUCGAACGAACUCUUCGGAGUUAGUGGCGGACGGGGGAGUAACACGUGGGAACGUGGAGUUAGGCACGGAAUACUACAGGGAAACUUGUGCUAAUACAGAAUGUGUCAUGCGGGGGCCAGAUUUAUCGCACUUAGAGCGGCCGGCGUCUGUCUGGCUUGUUGGGGAGGGAACGGCCGAUGACGGCGACGAUCAGUAGCUGGUCUGAGAGAAAGACCAGCCACACUGAGACUGAGUCGCGGCGCAGACUCCUACAGGAGGCAGCAGAGGGUAAUCUUGCGCAAUGGGGGAGAGGCUGACGCAGCCAGGCCGCUAGAAUGAUGUAGGUCUUAGGGUAGUAAAACUCUUUCACCCGGCACGAUAAUGACGGUACCCGAAGAAGAAGCCCCGGCUAACUUCGUG
rnacentral:rRNA from 1 species